rnacentral:rRNA from 1 species
ACGUAGGGACCAAGCGUUGUUCGGAUUUACUGGGCGUAAAGGGCGCGUAGGCGGCGCGGUAAGUCACUUGUGAAAUCUCUGAGCUUAACUCAGAACGGCCAAGUGAUACUGCAGUGCUAGAGUGUGGAAGGGGCAAUCGGAAUUCUUGGUGUAGCGGUGAAAUGCGUAGAUAUCCGGAGGAACACCAGAGGCGAAGGCGGCCUACUGGGCUGCACCUGACGCUGAGCCGCGAAAGCCAGGGGAGCGAACGGGA